GCAGGCGCGAAACCUUUACACUGCACGCCAGUGCGAUAAGGGAAUCCCAAGUGCGUAGGCAUAGAGCCUACGCUUUUGUCCACCGUAGGGAGGUGGACGAAUAAGGGCUGGGCAAGACCGGUGCCAGCCGCCGCGGUAAUACCGGCAGCCCGAGUGAUGGCCGAUUUUAUUGGGCCUAAAGCGUCCGUAGCUGGCCGCACAAGUCCAUCGGAAAAUCCACCCGCUCAACGGGUGGGCGUCCGGUGGAAACUGUGUGGCUUGGGACCGGAAGGCGCGACGGGUACGUCCGGGGUAGGAGUGAAAUCCCGUAAUCCUGGACGGACCGCCGAUGGCGAAAGCACGUCGCGAGGACGGAUCCGACAGUGAGGGACGAAAGCUAGGGUCUCGAACCGGAUUAGAUACCCGGGUAGUCCUAGCCGUAAACAAUGUCUGUUAGGUGUGGCUCCCACUACAAGUGGGUGCUGUGCCGUAGGGAAGCCGCUAAACAGACCGCCUGGGAAGUACGUCCGCAAGGAUGAAACUUAAAGGAAUUGGCGGGGGGAGCACAGGAAUUGGCGGGGGAGCACA
rnacentral:rRNA from 2 species